rnacentral:rRNA from 1 species
UACGAAGGGGGCUAGCGUUGCUCGGAAUCACUGGGCGUAAAGCGCACGUAGGCGGAUUGUUAAGUCGGGGGUGAAAUCCUGGAGCUCAACUCCAGAACUGCCUUUGAUACUGGCGAUCUCGAGUCCGGGAGAGGUGAGUGGAACUGCGAGUGUAGAGGUGAAAUUCGUAGAUAUUCGCAAGAACACCAGUGGCGAAGGCGGCUCACUGGCCCGGUACUGACGCUGAGGUGCGAAAGCGUGGGGAGCAACAGG